rnacentral:rRNA from 1 species
UGCAGUCGAACGAAGUAGCAAUACUUAGUGGCAGACGGGUGAGUAACAUGUGGGUAUCUGCCCUUUGGCCUGGAAUAACACGAGGAAACUUGUGCUAAUACCGGAUAAGUCUUUACGGAGAAAGCUUUAUGCACCAUUGGAUGAGCCCGCACUUGAUUAGUUUGUUGGUGGGGUAAUGGCCUACCAAGACUUUGAUCAAUAGCUGAUUUGAGAGGAUGAUCAGCCACAUUGGGACUGAGACACGGCCCAAACUCCUACGGGAGGCAGCAGUGGGGAAUCUUGCACAAUGGAGGAAACUCUGAUGCAGCGAUGCCGCGUGAGUGAAGAAGGCCUUUGGGUUGUAAAGCUCUUUCGUCGGGGAAGAAAAUGACUGUACCCGAAUAAGAAGGUCCGGCUAACUUCGUGCCAGCAGCCGCGGUAAUACGAAGGGACCUAGCGUAGUUCGGAAUUACUGGGCUUAAAGAGUUCGUAGGUGGUUGAAAAAGUUGGUGGUGAAAUCCCAGAGCUUAACUCUGGAACUGCCAUCAAAACUUUUCGGCUAGAGUUUGAUAGAGGAAAGCAGAAUUUCUAGUGUAGAGGUGAAAUUCGUAGAUAUUAGAAAGAAUACCAAUUGCGAAGGCAGCUUUCUGGAUCAUUACUGACACUGAGGAACGAAAGCAUGGGUAGCGAAGAGGAUUAGAUACCCUCGUAGUCCAUGCCGUANACGAUGUGUGUUAGACGUUGGAAAUUUAUUUUCAGUGUCGCAGCGAAAGCAAUAAACACACCGCCUGGGGAGUACGACCGCAAGGUUAAAACUCAAAUGAAUUGACGGGGACCCGCACAAGUAGUGGAGCAUGUGGUUUAAUUCGAAGAUACGCGCAGAACCUUACCAACACUUGACAUGUUCGUCGCGACUUUAAGAGAUUAAAGUUUUCGGUUCGGCCGGAC